UACGAAGGGGGCUAGCGUUGCUCGGAAUUACUGGGCGUAAAGGGCGCGUAGGCGGAUAUUUAAGUUAGAGGUGAAAGCCCAGGGCUCAACCCUGGAAUAGCCUUUAAUACUGGAUAUCUUGAGUUCGGGAGAGGUGAGUGGAACUCCGAGUGUAGAGGUGAAAUUCGUAGAUAUUCGGAAGAACACCAGUGGCGAAGGCGACUCACUGGCCCGAUACUGACGCUGAGGCGCGAAAAGCGUGGGGAGCAAACA
rnacentral:rRNA from 1 species